rnacentral:rRNA from 1 species
UAUUGCACAAUGGGGGAAACCCUGAUGCAGCGACGCCGCGUGAAGGAAGAAGUAUCUCGGUANGUAAACUUCUAUCAGCAGGGAANNAANNNANGGUACCUGACUAAGAAGCCGCGGCUAACUACGUGCCNNNAGCCGCGGUAAUACGUAGGGGGCAAGCGUUAUCCGGAUUUACUGGGUGUAAAGGGAGCGUAGACGGAAGAGCAAGGCUGAUGUGAAAGGCUGGGGCUUAACCCCAGGACUGCAUUGGAAACUGUUGUUCUAGAGUGCCGGAGAGGUAAGCGGAAUUCCUAGUGUAGCGGUGAAAUGCGUAGAUAUUAGGAGGAACACCAGUGGCGAAGGCGGCUUACUGGACGGUAACUGACGUUGAGGCUCGAAAGCGUGGGGAGCAAACA